rnacentral:rRNA from 1 species
GACAGAGGUUGCAAACGUUGUUCGGAAUUACUGGGCAUAAAGCGCACGUAGGCGGUUCGUUAAGUCAUGUGUGAAAUCCCCCGGCUCAACCGGGGAAUUGCGCCUGAUACUGGCGGGCUAGAGAUCGACAGGGGUGAGUGGAACUCCAGGUGGAGCGGUGAAAUGCGUAGAUAUCUGGAGGAACACCGGUGGCGAAAGCGGCUCACUGGAUCGAUACUGACGCUGAGGUGCGAAAGCUAGGGUAGCAAAC